rnacentral:lncRNA from 1 species
CGCAGACCCCGCCUCAGGGCUGCAGAGCCGUGGGAGAGUCCCAGAGUGGGGCCGGGGCCUCGGCCCGCACCCAGGGAGCCAUCACUUCACUCAUACAGUGUGGAGACUCCUGUGGGCUGCGCCUGGCUCCCAGUGGCCACGGAGCAAAUCCCUUCCACACCAGCAAGUCUCCCCGUGGCCUGUGUGUCCCGGGGUCCCCAGGGAAGCUGCAUUUGACUUGAGACCCUUCC